GUUUACUUUUGGUUCAGUGUAGAAUGCUCGCCUGCCACGCGGGCGCCCCGGGUUCGAUUCCCAGCCGAUGCA
rnacentral:tRNA from 1 species